GAUGAGCGCUGGCGGCGUGCCUAAUACAUGCAAGUCGAGCGAACGGACGAGAAGCUUGCUUCUCUGAUGUUAGCGGCGGACGGGUGAGUAACACGUGGAUAACCUACCUAUAAGACUGGGAUAACUUCGGGAAACCGGAGCUAAUACCGGAUAAUAUUUUGAACCGCAUGGUUCAAAAGUGAAAGACGGUCUUGCUGUCACUUAUAGAUAGAUCCGCGCUGCAUUAGCUAGUUGGUAAGGUAACGGCUUACCAAGGCAACGAUGCAUACCCGACCUGAGAGGGUGAUCGGCCACACUGGAACUGAGACACGGUCCAGACUCCUACGGGAGGCAGCAGUAGGGAAUCUUCCGCAAUGGGCGAAAGCCUGACGGAGCAACGCCGCGUGAGUGAUGAAGGUCUUCGGAUCGUAAAACUCUGUUAUUAGGGAAGAACAUAUGUGUAAGUAACUGUGCACAUCUUGACGGUACCUAAUCAGAAAGCCACGGCUAACUACGUG
rnacentral:rRNA from 1 species